UACAUAGGGUGCAAGCGUUGUUCGGAAUUAUUGGGCGUAAAGCGCGUGUAGGCGGCUUUGCAAGUCGGGUGUGAAAGCCCUCAGCUCAACUGAGGAAGUGCGCCCGAAACUGCAGAGCUUGAGUACCGGAGAGGAUGGCGGAAUUCCCCAAGUAGAGGUGAAAUUCGUAGAUAUGGGGAGGAACACCGGUGGCGAAGGCGGCCAUCUGGACGGAUACUGACGCUGAGACGCGAAAGCGUGGGGAGCAAACAGG
rnacentral:rRNA from 1 species